CGGCGGAAUCGUGGGGGAGGGCGCGGAACCGAGAAUCAGCCACGGCUUGUCGAUAAUGCCGAGUCGCGAGAGCCAGCGGCGGUGCUUUUCUCGCAGUUUUUCAAGCGCUUCAGGUUCAAUCGUCAUCUCGAAAUUCCAUUGAACAGGUAGGCGGGCGAGAUUCACU
rnacentral:sRNA from 1 species